rnacentral:rRNA from 1 species
AGUGAACGCUGGCGGUAGGCCUAACACAUGCAAGUCGAACGGCAGCACAGUAAGAGCUUGCUCUUACGGGUGGCGAGUGGCGGACGGGUGAGGAAUACAUCGGAAUCUACUUUUUCGUGGGGGAUAACGUAGGGAAACUUACGCUAAUACCGCAUACGACCUACGGGUGAAAGCAGGGGAUCUUCGGACCUUGCGCGAUUGAAUGAGCCGAUGUCGGAUUAGCUAGUUGGCGGGGUAAAGGCCCACCAGGCGACGAUCCGUAGCUGGUCUGAGAGGAUGAUCAGCCACACUGGAACUGAGACACGGUCCAGACUCCUACGGGAGGCAGCAGUGGGGAAUAUUGGACAAUGGGCGCAAGCCUGAUCCAGCCAUACCGCGUGGGUGAAGAACGCCUUCGGUUUGUAAAGCCCUUUUGUUGGGAAAGAAAAGCAGCAGGUUAAUACCCCGCUGUUCUGACGGUACCCAAAGAAUAAGCACCGGCUAACUUCGUG